UGCAGUCGAACGAGAACGGAUUAUAGCUUGCUAUAAUUGUCAGCUAAGUGGCGCACGGGUGAGUAAUGUAUAGGUAAUAUGCCUCUUACUAAGGGAUAACAAUUGGAAACGAUUGCUAAUACCUUAUAUUCCUUUUUAUCAAAAGAUAAAAAGGGAAAGAUUUAUUGGUAAGAGAUUAGCCUGUAUUGUAUCAGUUAGUUGGUGGGGUAAUGGCCUACCAAGACGAUGACGCAUAACUGGUUUGAGAGGAUGAUCAGUCACACUGGAACUGAGACACGGUCCAGACUCCUACGGGAGGCAGCAGUGGGGAAUAUUGCACAAUGGACGAAAGUCUGAUGCAGCAACGCCGCGUGGAGGAUGACACAUUUCGGUGCGUAAACUCCUUUUAUAUAAGAAGAUAAUGACGGUAUUAUAUGAAUAAGCACCGGCUAACUCCGUGCCAGCAGCCGCGGUAAUACGGAGGGUGCAAGCGUUACUCGGAAUCACUGGGCGUAAAGAGCGUGUAGGCGGAUUGAUAAGUUUGAAGUGAAAUCCUAUAGCUUAACUAUAGAACUGCUUUGAAAACUGUUAAUCUAGAAUGUGGGAGAGGUAGAUGGAAUUUCUGGUGUAGGGGUAAAAUCCGUAGAGAUCAGAAGGAAUACCGAUUGCGAAGGCGAUCUACUGGAACAAUAUUGACGCUGAGACGCGAAAGCGUGGGGAGCAAACAGGAUUAGAUACCCUGGUAGUCCACGCCCUAAACGAUGUACACUAGUUGUUGUGAGGCUCGACCUUGCAGUAAUGCAGUUAACACAUUAAGUGUACCGCCUGGGGAGUACGGUCGCAAGAUUAAAACUCAAAGGAAUAGACGGGGACCCGCACAAGCGGNGGAGCAUGUGGUUUAAUUCGACGAUACACGAAGAACCUUACCUGGACUUGAC
rnacentral:rRNA from 2 species